GUCACUGAUGAGCUCGACAAACUGUUGAUCCUGACCACGUGGAGUGGCGGACCGAGGGACCGCGGGGCGCGGCCGCUCGCCCUGCGCUGCGGCACUCGGAGAUCCCGGGACCCCGCGCCUCUUCCGCAGCGCUAGGGGCAGCGCGCGGGUGGGGCCGCGGAGCGCGGAGGGCACUGCCUGCGCCUUCUCUCGUCUUUGGGCUCGGGGAAAUAAUAACAACCACUAAAAAAAAAAAAUGUUUUUAAAGCGAGAAACAUUUUCCUCCUGGAAUAGCAAUGAGAGGGCUUGGGGUAAGGAGGCUAAGAAAAAAAAAAAAAAAAAGCUCCCAGUUAUAUAACGACUUAAAAUUAGGUGACUUUUGCUGGGGAGAUUCCGAGAUUUCCUCUUGCGCUAGGUCGGAGGUUGGUAAAAGAUUCUCAAACUUUUUUCCAUAAGAGCCAAUAAACAAACAGGCGCCCCGGGUGCUGACUUCAACUCUUGGAGGGCUGGCGUUUGCUGGGAUUCUGACUCUGAGAAAUGCACACCCCUGCGGCGCUGGCGGUGAAGUCCCUCGGAAACGAGGCGGUUCCCUUUCAGACUUAGGACUCCUCCGGCUUUCCCGGCGGGAGAACAUCUCUUACCGUCGCCGCCCCCUGGCUCCUCUCGGGCAUUUUAGAGCACUGCCGGGCUGGGAUCAAGCUGCCCAUCGCCCGCGGCCUCGGGAACUUGAAUUUGCAUUUUGGGCGCGGCGCUCCUGCCACAGUGCUGGGUUAAGGACCUCUAAGGGAUUCGGGAUCCCGGGGACGCUUUCGGAUUGAAUCUUGCGGGGCAACCUGUCGGCGCUGCCCGGAUGGACCGGUUUUCCCUCCGUGGGCAUCUCGAUGCUUCGGCACCUCCCGGGCGAGAGCUGAGAGCGAGCUCGCAGUCGCCAAGCCUAGGGCGAGGGGAGACUGGCCGGGGUCUGCUUUUGACGCUCGGAGCGCAGAGAGAAAACAAAAGAAACCUGGAACCCGGAGGCUUUGCGGCGUCUCUGCUUGCCCGCCCUGAGGAGGAGCCGGCGCGGAGCGUCGGAGCUUCUUGGCCAGCCUCUGCUCCGGGGAAUUAGAACGAACUCUAGCGGCGGUUUGCGACUCAGCUCUGGGCGCGAGGGCAGCAACAGCAGCCACAGGAAAUGAACACAGAUGGUGUGGGUGUGCCGCGCUGGAUGCAAGAGGUCUUGCAGGUGGGGCUGAAGGAUGUCUCAGCAGCAGCUGCUGUGAACCCAUGACUGAGGGAUGAUGGGAUCAUGGAUCCUCAGAAGAGGGCAGUGUGGACAGAUGACCCUGAAGAUAAGAGGGUGCUUCUCCCUUUCUCUCCCUCCUACAUGGAUAUCAGGCUCUAUACACAUCGUUCAAAACCUGGGCCAGCCCUCCAGGAAGAGGAGCAAGGGAUGGGAGACCAAUUGCCUGAGAUUAUUGCUACCGCAUGGGCUGAAUGGGAGGGAGCUCACAGUACAGACGGAGCUGCAUCACAGAAAUGGAAGAAAGUUGUCAGUCUUUCACACCUGAGUUGAGGUUUCUGAUUUAUAACCAACACGCUCUUUGCAGAACGAUACUUCCCAGGGUGGCGUGUGUGGCUACGCAGUGGUCGUGUGGACGCACAGACACCAGGACCCAGAUUGGUCUGUGGUCUUUCAAGAUCGAUUGAAGGUGGAAAAUUAGAAUAUCGUGUUGUUUUUUAAAAUUAUAACAUAUUUUGAAUUACUUUAAGAUUCCCCC